UACGGGGGGUGCGAGCGUUGUCCGGAUUCACUGGGCGUAAAGGGCGCGUAGGCGGUGAUGUAAGACAGAUGUGAAAUCCCCGGGCUCAACCUGGGAACUGCAUUUGUGACUGCAUCGCUGGAGUGCGGCAGAGGGGGAUGGAAUUCCGCGUGUAGCAGUGAAAUGCGUAGAUAUGCGGAGGAACACCGAUGGCGAAGGCAAUCCCCUGGGCCUGCACUGACGCUCAUGCACGAAAGCGUGGGGAGCAAACAGG
rnacentral:rRNA from 1 species